GAAGACGGCCAUAAUAGGUUGGAAACACCUGUUCCCAUUCCGAACACAGAAGUUAAGCUUCCUAUGUUGAUUGUGUUAGUGCCCCACAAGGUGCCAAGCAAUCAAGCUGUCUUCU
rfam:Candidatus Pacearchaeota archaeon RBG_13_33_26 RBG_13_scaffold_69, whole genome shotgun sequence.